CCAAGUUUGACCAUUCGUCUUAUUCAAAAAUUUGUGCAAAAUAUCACUUCUUUUGUCAUGGCUUGGUUUAUUAAUAAAAGUUCUUCAAGAAUGACUUAAAUUUAACUAUGUUUGCACAAAUUUUUUGAAUAAGACGAGUGGUCAAACUUGG
rfam:Sorghum bicolor cultivar BTx623 chromosome 1, whole genome shotgun sequence.